UUCAGGUGGGACAAGGACCUGGGUGCUGCAA
rnacentral:piRNA from 1 species